UUAGCCGUCCAAAUUAGAUCCAAGCAUUCAGCUGCCACGUAAAGCAACAUAAUUUAUAUGAUCAAAAACAUUAAUAAUAGACCAUGCACCUAUUAAUGGAAAGACAUCUUGCAGAGAGACAAAUCUUGUCAUGUGACGUGACGCGACGGGACGCCUGCUAUCCAUUCUCCAAACCACUUACAGGGAUACUGGAUCGCAGUGUUUAGAGCCGAAGACAAAUGGCCAUCAAACACAGCAAAAAAACCCCAAGACUGAGUGUGAUCCCUCAGAUCCAUGGCAGUAGACACGACACUUCAUUUGGCGCCCGAACAGGGACUGGAAAGGAGCAGCAGAGUGGACGACCGCUUUUGUACUCAGUGAUGAGCAACACACACACAGUGGUGGCCACCAUAUAAUAAGG